ACAACAAUGUGUCUGAAAAAUUACAACACUGUUAUACAAUGCAAUUAACUGCAUGGUAACCCUCUUAUCCGUUUCACUACCACCAUGUUCCCUGACAACUACGAACGAACAGUACAAACGAGAACAAUUGAUAUUAAAAACAGGGCGAAAGUUAAACGGUGACGACGACGUCGACUUAUUCAAUGCUUAAGAAAAAUAUUUUUUUCGGAAUAUUCAUUGUGAAAAAAUGAUUAAAUAUUAUAUACUGCAUUAAUCUAAUGCAAUUUAAUUUAAAUACAAGUGAAAUACUUCAAAUUAAACAAGUAUUUAAACAAUUUUCUUAUGAUUUUCAAGAAUGAAAAAACUUUUACCCCAAAAAAGUGAAUUGAGGAAAGAAAAAAAAAUUUUUUUUGUGAAAAAAGGUGGUGGUGAAUUUGCAAAUUGAAAGAAGAAAAAAGUUAUUCAUACAAGGAAAAGAAGAAGAAAAGUAGUAGAAAGAAUGAAAAAAUACAACUUAUACAUAUGUGUGUUGAAAUAAAUAAAGGAAAAAAUGAAAAUAAUUCAAAAAUAAAAGAAUUUGUUGAAAAAAUUUAAGAAUUAAAAAAUACAAAAAAAAGUACGCAGAAGAAAAAAUAUUAAAAGUCAUUGAAAACGUAAACGGGCAAAGAAGGAAGAUAAUAAAAAUUAUCUGACAUUUACAAAACGAAACUGCAGAAAACUAAAAUAUUGAACACUCGAAAAAAUGUAUAAGGCACACAAGAAAAUGAUGAUGGAUAUAAAGUGAAAUUGAAAGCUUUAAUUAAUUUCAACAAAUAAUAAAUAGAAAAAAUAUCUAUUAAGAUAAUUAAAUUAAUAAUUUUUCAUAUAACGAUUUUGUGAACAAAAGCAAACAGAAAAAAGUUUUCUCAAUAAAUACUUUGUGGCUUUUUGUGGGUACGUACGUCGAUCGUACGUACACCCGUAUCGCGUCGUUCACCUUAAAAGUAUCCAACCAGCCAGCCAGCCACCUUUUUCUUUUUAACCACUUGCAUUUUGGCCACACACAUACACAAACACAAGUGGAGCAAAGAGGUGCAAGAAAUAGAUCUAAAUAAUAGCAAAAAACAAAAAAAAAAAAGUAUAAUAAACAAGCUCCACCUAAAAAAGCUGAAAAAUAUCAUCAUCACACCAUAUUCUUCAUUCACUCGGUCUCGAUAAAACGAGUGUUUAGUUGAAAUAAAAAAUAUUGCAAUUAACUUCUUCCUCCCUUUGAAAAAAACUACUUCAAAAAUGGAAUAUUAUUUAGGAGGUUAUGUGUAUAUGAAUGGGGAUGCAGUGAAGAUACCACAACCUGUUGCUACCACCGUCUAUGCGAAUGUUCCUGUUGAUACGGCAGUGUUAGCGACCAAUUUAUACGGUCCAACCACACAAUUGGCAGCUCCAGCAGCGACACACAUCCCAUUGAUAGCGACAGCCGCUGGACCACAACCACCCCAUCAUCAAGCUUUACAAGUUGCUGCAGCACCAGGUCAACAUCAACAAUUGAUUGCGGCUCACACAGCUGCCGCACACACACAACAGCCUACAUUACAAACAGUACAGGCGGCAGCCGCUGCGGCUGCUGUAGCUGCAGCUACACCACAACACACAGCACCGCAUCAAAUACAGGGACAUCCCCAACAAGCCCAUUUGCAGUACGCCCAUCAGCAAACUGCUAUUGCUGGGGGUCAGCAGGGGCCUACAGUUACAACAACAACGAUUGAUAACACCGAAUAUACAGUCAUGAAUGGAUCCAUAACUCAAGACGGCACUGUCGUCUGUUACAGUCAAGAUGAUUUGCAGGUUGGUGUAGUUGGUGCGCCUGUUGCAGCUGGUGGUGGUAAUGUCACGAAUUUAGUUGCUGUAGAUCAAAUGUCUGGUACACCGGUCACAGCAGCCACAGCUCAGCAACAACAACAGCAACAUAACGUUCAUGCUCAACACCAUGUCAUUCUCAAUAAUGGCCCACCACCUCCUUCAUCAACUACUACCCUACAGCAACAACAACAAUCACAGCAACAACAACAAGUUGUCAGUGGUAACAGUAACAAUAACAUUAUUAGUUCAUCAAAUUCAAGCGGCAAUACGGGCGAUAAUAGUGGCAUACCAUUGGAACAACUUAAACAAAUGUUAGCUACACAAUUGGAAUAUUACUUUUCAAGAGAAAAUUUAGCAAACGACUCUUGGCUGCUAUCACAAAUGGACAGUGAUCAAUAUGUACCCAUAUGGACUGUGGCCAACUUUAAUUUAGUUAAAAAACUAACUAAAGAUAUUAAACUUAUAACAGAAGUGCUUAGGGAAUCACCGAAUGUGCAAGUAGACGAAGAAGGUCUCAGAGUCAGACCUAAUCACAAAAGAUGCAUUAUAAUUUUACGUGAAAUUUCUGAACAAACUCCCGUUAAAGAUGUUAAGAAUAUUUUUAACAAUGAAAACUGCCCACGCGUUAUUUCGUGUGAAUUUGCUGGCAAUAAUUCAUGGUAUAUAACAUUUGAAUCGGAUGAAGAUGCACAAAAAGCUUUUACAUAUUUAAGAGAAGAUGUUAAAGAAUUUCAGGGUAAACCAAUAAUGGCUAGAAUGAAAGCAAAACCAUUUAUAAAUAGAUUACCAAUCGGUCCAGUAUCAACUAUAAAAAAUGGCUUCCGUUUGACUUCACCACCAGCCGCUGUAUACGAUCCAAAUGCUGCUGCUGCAGCGGCAGUUGCUUAUAGUGCAGCACCGCAACGUUUUGUAUAUGCUGCUAACGGAGCAGCAAUGACGCAACCACCAGUACCAUAUAAUGGUCAAUUACAUUUAAUCCAAUUCCAACAGCAACAAUUUUAUCCUGGUAUUGUUACACCUUGGCCCACUGCGGCUGCUGCAGCUGUAGCAGCAGCCGCAACCACAGCACAUGGUCAGAAUUUCUAUGAGAUUGGCAAUGUUUUUGCAGCCAAUGGUUUGCCUCCUGCAGUACCUGCAUAUGCCACGACAGCACCACCUCCUACACAAACUCCUGGUUUAACUGGCAGCACAAAACCGCAAAGCGGCGGCGGUGGUGGCGGAGGUGGUGGACGCUAUAACAACAAUCAUCGCAAUAAUUCUGGCAGUGGUGGUGGUCAAAGCAGCGGUCAUCGCAAGCAGCAACGCAACACAAAUUUACAACAGUUGCAACAAACUCCCCAACCGCAACCACAGUUGGCUGGCAGCAAUAUAAUUGUAUCUAGUGUAAGUGUUGGGGGAGCUGGUGGUCUGGUAGGCGUUAUGCCAACCACAAUUGUAGAUCCUCACCAACAACAACAACAAACAAUGACGCAACAGCAUCAAAUGCAACAACAACCACCACCUAAUCAACAACAACAACCGACUUCAAGUCAACAACAGCCCGGCUCUCAGCAAAGUAGUAAUACAAGACAUUAUACAAGUAUGAAGCCAAACACUGGUGGCAUACCGAAAUCAUCAAUUGAUAAAUCAUAUGGUGGUGGCAAUUCGAAUGCUCUCAGCAGUCAUCAUCAUUACAGUGCGCAAAAUCAAACUACUCAUCAUGUACAAACACAACAACAACAGCCACAGCAGCAACCUCAACAAUUAGGUGGCGGUGCUGCUGCAACUCACAUACAACAAACUCACUAUCAAAUGCCUUCCUCUAAUACACAAACUGGUGCAAUGCAGCAUACUUCCUAUACGGCACACACCGUACCAACAGUUUCAGCACAACAGCAUCAUCAUCAGCAACAACAACAGCAGCAGAUUCAUCAACAGCAGCAGCAUGACCUACAAGAAGAUGUCAGUGUUGAGGUUGUUCAUCAAUCACAAAUUGUUGUCCAACAUGUUCCGCAACAGGGACAUCACCAUAAUCCUCGUAAUGCUAUUACAUCGUCAUCCUCUUCAUUGACUAAUUCGGUUGGUGGAAGUGGUGUGGGCGGUGGCAGUGGUGUGGGAAAAGAUCCGCCACAUUGGUCUCAAUCUCGUCCCAGACGAAGAAGACGCGAUGACGAUAAUUCUGGCAUGACCUACUCACCUAACAAUCGUGUUGGCGGCGGUGGAGGAGGAGGAGGCGGUGGCGGGCAAUCAUAUAAUUCGACACAUCAUUCUCAACAGCAGCAGCAACAAAGUGGUGGCAACUCAGGUGGCGGAGGAGGAGGUAGUGUUAUUUCUUCUUCUCAAGGCAGUAGUCAUCAUCAUUCAAAUCGCAAUGAUAUUAGUGGUGGUGGCCAUCAUGGCGGUGGUGGUGGUGGUUAUACGUCGCAUCGUAAUGACAAUGAACAUCGCGGUGGUUAUAAAGGUAACAAUUAUAAUCCUCAUUAUAAUAGCGGAGGCGGAGGUGGCGGUGGAUCCCACUCCCACCAUUCUUCAAACAAUUCAUCUUCACAUCAUCACAAUCAACAUCACAAUACAGCGACAUCAUCAGGUUCCUCACAACAACAACAACAACAGCAGCAACAAUUGAAUCAGCAACAACAACAACAACAUCAUACUUCUUCCACUUCAUCAUCAUCGACACAACACCAUUCAAUGACAACUUCAUCUUCUACCCAUCAUUAUAAUCCACAUCAUCAUAAUAAUGAAGGUGGUGGUGGUGGAGCUAGUGGCGGAGGAAGUGGAGGCGGAGGAGGGGUUGGGGGUGGAGGAAGUGGACGUGAUGUUGGUGUUGGUGGCCGCAACUAUGAAGGCCGUCACACAGCUGGUGGUGGUUCUAGUUAUGCUGGUAAUAAUGAUAGAUCUGGUGGAGGUCAUGGUAGUGGAAGUGGCGGUGGAGGCCGUCAUCAUGACAACUAUCAUCAUAACAGCCAUCACCAGAGCCAUCAUCAACAUCACCAUCAUCAGCAGCAACAGCAACAACAACAGCAACAAAAUGCUACACCACCACAACCGCCGCAAUUUGACUUAGAAGCAGCAGCUUUUCCACCACUGCCAGCCACCUCAUCGUCAGUGGCCUCUAGUAAUGUUGCUGCAGCCAGUGGUACCAAUAGUAAACAAACUGCCAGUGCACUACAACAGCAACAACAUCAGCAGCAGCAACAGCAAGUGAGUUUAAAUGAUGCUACAACAUCUGCCAAUAAUAACAACAACAUGACUAUCACUAGUAAUAGUAACAAUAGCAGCAUCAGUAAUGCAUCUGAUCAACAUCUACAAACUCAUCCACAGCAACAACAACCACAACAUCAUCAACAGCAGCAGCCAAAAAACGUCAAUACUCAACCCUAUCACCAGCAGCAUCAGCAAUCGCAACAACAAAAUACAAGUAACAAUUUAAUGCAGCAACAACAAAACAGUUCCUCAGUUAACUCGGGAAACGGUAACGGUGGUAGUGGUUGGGCAGAAAAUCGCUUAGCUGAUGUAGUACGUGGCAAUGGCAACAACAACGCCAGUGGGGGAGGGGGUAAGAAAUCUCGCAAAGAUUCCGGCCACACCAACAAACAACAUAAUUUUUACCAACAAAGAGGUAGUACAGCUGUAAGUCCAACGCCCACAGUUGGUGGCGGUGGUAACAAUAAUAGCAGUAGUAACAUUACGGCCACCAUUGCCUCUGUAGCCAAUUCAACCAACAACAAUAACACCUCAACCUUAAUUAAUACACCCGCCAUAGAAACUGCUAAUAUUGAAGAUUUAAAACAACGCGAUCAUUCAAUCGCCAACAACAACAGCAACAAAAACAACAACAAUAAUAAUAGCAAAUCAUUGACAAAUAAUAAACAAAAUUCUAAUUCUAAUAACUCUGCAACUGUGAUACCGUGUUUAACACAAAACAAUACUAAUACAACAAAUAUUAAAGGUGGUAGCAACAUUGUUGCUGCCACAUUUAACACCACAACCUCAUCUACCACUGAUUGCAAUAGCGGCAGCAGCAGCAGCAACACAUGUAGUAACAGCAUUAACAGUAGCGGUGGUCCAACUACUAAUCUCCAUGAAAAAUUCAACAAGACUGAAGAAUAUUUGGUACAUGCCAUAAAUAAUCCAAUUGCCACUGGAGUUGGAGUUGUAGGAGGAGGUGGUGGGGCUGGUCAUAAAUCAGCAUAUGUUCACACAACCGCUUGUGCUAGUAGUGGCAGCUGUAGCAACAAUGAUUGCAACAACGAACGUAGUAGUAAUACCACAAAAAACGUGUCAUCCUCAACUGGUACUGCUGCCGCAGCAGUGUGCAGUGUGGCCACCAUGACCACAAACCUUGCCGAAUGCAGUCUAAACAAUCAUAAAAAACCACCUGCCAUUGCAGCUUUAAUUGCCAAAAAAGAGACGCCAAAAGAUGCUACCAAGCAAAAAAAUGCCUCCACAUCAACUAGCUCAACAUCCACAGAAAACAUAGCCGCCGCUGUCGUCUCCACCAUCAACAGCAACGCUGGCAUCAUUGCUAAUGCCAUUCCACCUACCGCUGGUGGUAGCUCGGCUGCUUCACGUUUAAGUUAUGCUCAGGUAGCACAACGCAAAGACGACAACGCAGCAGCAGUUAGUAUUUUGUCGCCCGUAGCUGUUAACAAACAUGAAUCAGCUGUAGCUGCAACCUCCGUUAUCCCCUCUCCCUCUGUAACCACUUCCAUAAACUCUUCCCCAUCAGUCGCUGUGAAUAAAAUUGAAGGGAAUGAAAAACAUGUGGCCAAUAAUAAUAAUAAUUCAUCUACAAGUAGUUGUAGUACAAUUGUUGUUGGUUGUGCUAAUACAAGUGCAGCAGUGAGUAUAAACUCAUCCUCCUCCUCGUCGUCGUGCUCCUCCUCAGGUGCUGGUGCUGCAUCUUUAACUGUAACUGGUGCUGUGAAUAGUGGCAGUAAUGUUCCAGUAACAUUGCGCACUGAAAUUUCCAAAGAAAAAGACGUUUCCCGUGAAAAUCGUCAAUCAACAGGAAGUAAUUAGUGCUAAUAACUUCAUUGAAUUAAAUGAAAUAUCAUCUAUAAUAAAUAAUAACAAAUAUACAAACAUAAGUUAUGAUACGUUUACAGUGUAAUUGUAUACGUACUAAAAGUAACUAAAACCAAUUAAUACUAUCAUCUAUACUUCACAAAACUGGAAGUUUGUUCAACAGAAAUUACCUUAAAGGGUUUUUGUUAGCGUGUGUAUCAAAUGGAAUAUUUUUUUAAUUAAAAAGGAUAUAAUAAUGUGUAUUAUUAACAAGGACCAGUCAAAUUUAAAAAUAAUUGUAAAGCAUAUUUUUAUUUGCUUUAUAAUGUAAUUAAACAAAGUCAUCAUUUAGGCGAUUUUUUAUAUCGAAUUUCGGUUAUUGUUUUGUUAUUUUUAUAAAUAUUAUGUUUGAUUUAAAAUAUUACGCACAUUGUUAACAUAUUUAUAAUUGUUAUCUUUAUAAAACAACAAAAACAAAAUACAUAAAAACAAAACAUACAAAUAAAUUGAAAUUAUAACCUAAAAACACAAACAUAAAAAUAUAUUGUACCAAACUACAAUUUAAAAUUACUAAACACAUACAUAAAUAAAUUAAUACAAAAAAAAACCUAUAAUUAUAACUUAAAUAACAAUAACAUUAUUCAUUAAAUUGUUUAGUAUAUAAACUAAUUAAUUAAUUAAUAAAUUAACUAAACAAUAGUUAUAAUUGGUAAAUAUAAAUUAAAUAUAUGAGAAUUCUUUUACCUAAAUGUAAAACGAAAACAAAAAUACAUACUUGCAUAUAUUUAAAAUACAUCUUAUUUAAUUUUAAGUAAAGCUUAUUAAACAAUUCAAAAUAAACAAAAUGGUAAAGAAAACAUAAUUUAACAACAAAAACAAUAUUAGAAAAUAAACGAAUAUUAAAAAAAGAAAAGAAAAUAUUAAUAAUAAAACAAUAACAAUAAUUCUGUAAUAUAAACACGAAAUAAACUAAAAACUUAAGUUAAAUUUAAUGAAAUUAAUAAUAUUUAUUAUUAAAUAUUUAUAUAUACAUACAUAUAAAAAUACAUUUAAAACAUAAACUAAAAACACUUUAAAAUAUAAAAUAAUUAUAUAUACACACAUAUAUAUAAAUAAAAAAUAAUUAACUUUAAGAUCAGCUUAAUAUAAAAAACUAGGUUACAAUUUAUACUAAACAAGAAAAAAAAAUUAAAUGAAACAGAGUUAGAAAGAAAACUGUCGUCAGAUAAAGAAAAAUAAAAUCGAAAUCGUUAAAAAAAAACAAUUGAAUUACAAAGCAAAUACUUAAACGUAUAUAAAAAAAGUAAUUAAUUACCACUAAAAUAAUACUAAAUGUUAUUUAAUAUUAAGCCUAAUUAUACAAAUAAUAAUUAAAAAAAAAAACAAA